rnacentral:rRNA from 1 species
UACGGAGGGUGCAAGCGUUAAUCGGAAUUACUGGGCGUAAAGCGUGCGCAGGCGGUUUGGUAAGACAGAUGUGAAAGCCCCGGGCUCAACCUGGGAACUGCGUUUGGUACUGGCAAGCUAGAGUACGGCAGAGGGGGGUGGAAUUCCACGUGUAGCAGUGAAAUGCGUAGAGAUGUGGAGGAACACCGAUGGCGAAGGCAGCCCCCUGGGCCGAUACUGACGCUCAGGCACGAAAGCGUGGGGAGCAAACAGG